rnacentral:rRNA from 1 species
UACAGAGGGCGCGAGCGUUGUCCGGAAUCACUGGGCGUAAAGGGCGCGUAGGUGGCACUAUAAGGCCGUGGUGAAAGUCUGGGGCUCAACCCCAGAUCUGCCGCGGCGACUGUAGAGCUUGGGCACCGUAGAGGCAGAUGGAAUUCCGGGUGUAGCGGUGGAAUGCGUAGAGAUCCGGAAGAACACCUGUGGCGAAAGCGGCGCACUGGACCAUAACUGACGCUGAGGCGCGAAAGCUAGGGGAGCAAACAGG